ensembl:snoRNA
UGGAUUUAAUUCAAUGAUAAUUUCAAAACCCCAAACAAGGAGUGGAUAAAGGCUUACAGACAGGUGCAACAAGUAAGUCCUAUUUUGCAACCCAGAACUCAUUGUUCAGCUUGAGUUUUGAUACACAUAAGCAGGAAUAUU